rnacentral:rRNA from 1 species
UACGUAGGGUGCGAGCGUUGUCCGGAUUUAUUGGGCGUAAAGAGCUCGUAGGCGGUUUGUCGCGUCGGCCGUGAAAUCUCCACGCUUAACGUGGAGCGUGCGGUCGAUACGGGCAGACUUGGAGUUCGGUAGGGGAGACUGGAAUUCCUGGUGUAGCGGUGAAAUGCGCAGAUAUCAGGAGGAACACCGAUGGCGAAGGCAGGUCUCUGGGCAUUAACUGACGCUGAGGAGCGAAAAGCAUGGGGGAGCGAACAGG